rnacentral:sRNA from 1 species
GCCAGGUGUGGUGGUGCACACCUCUAAUCCCAGCGACUUGGGAGGCUGAGGCUGGAGGAUCGAAAGUUUAAAGCCAGCCUGGACAGCAUAGUGAGAACCAGCCUCAG